rnacentral:rRNA from 1 species
AGGAUUAACGCUGGCGGCGUGCCUAACACAUGCAAGUCGAACGAGGUAGCAAUACCUAGUGGCAGACGGGUGAGUAACGCGUGGUCAACCUACCGUUGAGUGGGGGAUAACUAGCCGAAAGGUUAGCUAAUACCGCAUACGAGUCUCGGGGGCAUCCCUGGGCCUUAAAAGGAGCAAUCCGCUCGAUGACGGGACCGCGUCCCAUUAGCUAGAUGGUGGGGUAAUGGCCUACCAUGGCUCCGAUGGGUAGCUGGUUUGAGAGAGCGACCAGCCACACUGGGACUGAGAAACGGCCCAGACUCCUACGGGAGGCAGCAGUGAGGAAUUUUCCGCAAUGGGCGAAAGCCUGACGGAGCGACGCCGCGUGUGGGAAGAGGCCUUCGGGUCGUAAACCACUGUCGAAGGGGACGAUAAUGACGGUACCUUGGAGGAAGCCCGGCUAACUACGCGCCAGCAGCCGC